rnacentral:rRNA from 1 species
GAUGAACGCUGGCGGCGUGCCUAACACAUGCAAGUCGAGCGAACAGAUGAUGAUCUUGUUCCUUUGACGUUUGCCGCGCACGUGUGUGUAACACGUGUAUAACCUACCUAUAAUUCGGAUAUCAUUUCGGGAAUCCGGCUCUUAUCCCGUAUAAUAUCUUGCUCCGCAUUGUUCGAUAGUUAAUUUCGGUUUUUCUGUCUCUUAUAGAUGCUUCCGCGCCUCAUUAUCUGGUUGGUAAGUUCACGGCUUUCGAAGGCAACGAUGGGUAGACGACGUGAGGGGGUGAUAGGCCACCUUGGAAGUGAGACACGGUCCAGACUCCUAAGGGAGGCAGCAGUAGGGAAUGUUCGGCAAUGGGGGAAAGCCUGACGGAGCGACGGCGAGUGAGAGAUGAAGGUGUUCGGAUCGUAAAACUCUGUUAUGAGGGAAGAACAAAUGUGUAAGUAACCAUGGAGGUAUUGACGGUAACUAAUAAGAAAGCACCGGCUAACUACGUG